UCCCUGCUGGCUUGGCAGUAAAGAAUCUGCCUGCAAUGCAGGAAACCUGGGUUUGAUCCCUAGGUCAGGAA
rnacentral:tRNA from 1 species